rnacentral:RNase_P_RNA from 1 species
UGAGUAUGCUGGGUAAUCGCGGAUAUAAAUGCCGAAAGGCUGUAUCUGAGGAAAGUCCGAGCUCCAUAGGGCAGGGUGCUGGGUAACUCCCAGUGGAGGAGACUCCAAGGAAAGUGCCACAGAGAUAUACCGCCGAUGGCCGUUUUACGGCACAGGCAAGGGUGGAAAGGCGAGGUAAGAGCUCACCAGCAGCCAGGUGACUGGCUGGCUAGGUAAACCCCACCUGGAGCAAGACCGAAUAGAGGGGCAAUGGAACGGCCCGUUCCGCUCCCGGGUAAGGUCGCUUGAGGUGACGAGAGAUCGUCAUCCUAGAUAAAUGAUUGCCACCCCGUAAGGGGAACAGAACUCGGCUUACAGGCACACUCAUGUG